GUGUCAGCAGCCGCGGUAAUACGGAGGGUGCAAGCGUUAUCCGGAUUCACUGGGUUUAAAGGGUGCGUAGGUGGUUUUGUAAGUCAGUGGUGAAAUGUCUCGGCUUAACCGGGAAACUGCCAUUGAUACUGCUUAACUUGAAUCAAGUAGAGGUGGAUGGAAUAUUACAUGUAGCGGUGAAAUGCUUAGAUAUGUAAUAGAACACCAAUUGCGAAGGCAGUUCACUAUGCUUGUAUUGACACUGAGGCACGAAAGCGUGGGGAUCAAACAGGAUUAGAAACCCCAGUAGUCC
rnacentral:rRNA from 1 species